AAAAAAAAAAAAAAAUGGCAUCUCCCAGCACACGUCUGAGGCUGUUCGCAAAAAUGAAAAAUCCACCCAGUUAAAACUGAAUCAGAAAGUGCAUGUUCUAUAAAGGUUGGUCGUUAAACUGAAACUGAAUAGGUGGUUUGGGUUUGAUUAAGGUAAAAGAAUUCAGUUAAACCCCACCUGAUUGAAUAUGCUUAAUUCAAUUGAUUAAUCUGCAAAAAGGUUGCUUUUUUUUUUUUGAAAAAAAAAAA
rnacentral:misc_RNA from 1 species